rnacentral:rRNA from 1 species
CAGUAGCCACGGUAAUACGAAGGGGGCUAGCGUUGUUCGGAUUAACUGGGCGUAAAGGGCGCGUAGGCGGGUUUUUAAGUCAGAGGUGAAAUCCCAAGGCUCAACCUUGGAACUGCCUUUGAUACUGGAAGUCUUGAGUCCGGGAGAGGUGAGUGGAACUGCGAGUGUAGAGGUGAAAUUCGUAGAUAUUCGCAAGAACACCAGUGGCGAAGGCGGCUCACUGGCCCGGUACUGACGCUGAGGCGCGAAAGCGUGGGGAGCAAACAGGAUUAGAUACCCCAGUAGUCCCUGUCUCUUAUAC